UAGGCCGGGUGUGGAAGUGCGGCAACGCAUGAAGCUUACCGGUACUAAUAGCUCGAUCGGCUUGAUCGUUCUCAUU
rnacentral:rRNA from 2 species